UCCGUAGGCGGGCUAAUAAGUCAGGGGUGAAAUCCAACAGCUUAACUGUUGAACUGCCUUUGAUACUGUUAGUCUUGAAUUAUAUGGAAGUAGAUAGAAUGUGUAGUGUAGCGGUGAAAUGCUUAGAGAUUACACAGAAUACCGAUUGCGAAGGCAGUCUACCACGUAUAUAUUGACGCUAAUGGACGAAAGCGUGGGGAGCGAACAGGAUUAGAUACCCUGGUAGUCC
rnacentral:rRNA from 1 species